ensembl:snoRNA small nucleolar RNA, C/D box 71
UGUGUGUUGGAGGAUGAAAAUAAGGAGUGAUCCAUCGGCUGAGUGUCUUGUCAUGAUGUUGAAACUCAGUUUGCUGACAGCACACU